rnacentral:tRNA from 1 species
GGGAGUGUCGUAUAGUGGCUAUUACCCCAGCCUUCCAAGCUGGUGACGCGGGUUCGAUUCCCGUCACUCCCUCCA